GAGUUUCCAGUUUCCAUUAACUACCAUCUAUGGUCUAUCCUGGCUCCGAUUGUUGCUGUCCAGGUUCUGUUGUACCUUUGCUUUUAGCAGGGAGUACUGGUUCUUACACCGAUUUGUCUCGAAUUUCCGGACUUUGGGAUCACUGAUUUCCUGAUUCGUUCAAUCUUGGCCGGAGUUUCAUCAUUUCUCUUUCUUUCUUGGUUUACUUUGAGACUACAGACUAUCUGUGAGCAAGUUCAACGAGUGAUUAACACUUGCAGCUCAGAACAUAAAUAAUGCGCAUACAAUCUUGGAGCACAAGGGUAAAAUAUCAGUUGUAUUUCCUUGAUUUAUAAGAAGAAAAAACUAUUUUUUCUUCCACAAAAAGACUAUUCCUACCGGUCAGCGCUUAGACUUUCCACACAUGCAACAGUGGUAGUUGCUGGCGGCUGGCGGCUCUAUGUCGCUUUAAAACUGAAGUUGAAAACAAAAGAAAAUGGUAGUUGUCCCUCGCUUUCCUAAAUCUUAAAGUGAUAUUGCGAUAUUGUAAUAGGUUUCUACUCCAAGGAUGGCUGCAGGAACGAGCAGGAAGAUAUCUGCAAGGUCUCACACCAGAAGAGCCAACGAGAGCUCCGGUCCCAGCUUUCCUUCAGGUGAGUUCAAUUUGCUUCCAAAAACUGUACAUUCUAAUUGUUUACACCUUGUUUCUUGAAUCUCUGGUAAAUGUUCAGGGAUCUUUCCUACAGUACUUCUGGUUUUGCUUGCUGUGAUUUUGGCUUGGGGUUAUCAAGCAAUCCAACCACCUC
rnacentral:lncRNA from 1 species